UUCUUAAAAAAUUGCAAAAUAACCCUUUUUCAGGUUAAAAUUGAAAAAUAACCCUUUUUCGGGUUAAAAUUGAAAAAAUAUGUUACAUAAAAAUAGUUUGUAAGAUUUUCUAACAGCAUAUAUGCAAAGUAUUUUGAUUUAUUUGAAAAUAAUUGAAAAUAGAUUUUUCAAGGACGGUGUCGAGGUCACGGGGUCGGUGUCGUUUUUCGAAAUUUGUUAACUUAAUAUAAUAGAAGAUGUUUCGUUUGAAAUUAAGAAAUGUUAAAAUUAUUAAGUUAAAAACAUUUGAUUUUAAUGACACUUAAAAUUAGACACAAUAUUAUAAGUUACUAACUAAAAAUUUAAAAAACAACAAUAAAUAAUAAAAAAUAAUAAUAAAAAAUUGAAAAAAUCAAAAAAUUCUUAAAAAAUUGCAAAAUAACCCUUUUUCGGGUUAAAAUUGCAAAAUAACCCUUUUUCGGGUUAAAAUUGAAAAAUAACCCUCUUUCGGGUUAAAAUUGAAAAAAGAUGUUACAUAAAAAUAGUUUGUAAGAUUUUCUAACAGCAUAUAUGCAAAGUAUUUUGAUUUAUUUGAAAAUAAUUGAAAAUAGAUUUUUCAAGGACGGUGUCGAGGUCACGGGGUCGGUGUCGUUUUUCGAAAUUUGUUAACUUAAUAUAAUAGAAGAUGUUUCGUAUUAAAUUAAGAAAUGUUAAAAUUAUUAAGUUAAAAACAUUUGAUUUUAAUGACACUUAAAAUUAGACACAAUAUUAUAGGUUACUAACUAAAAAUUGAAAAAACAACAAUAAAUAAUAAAAAAUAAUAAUAAAAAAUUGAAAAAAUCAAAAAAAUUUUAAAAAAUUG